GGGGCCGCCUGGACCUGCGCGGGGCGGCCGGGCAGCUCUUCGCGAUGGGGGCCGCUUCUAGCCGGGGCCGAUUGUGGGGUAGUCUGCGGGAGGAAACGGCUUCCCUCCCACAGAGGCUCCGCUCUGCUGCAGUUCUGUGCUUUCGUGAGGCUUUCUUGCCACGGCAAUUUUCAAGCCACGCUCUCCCCGGACAUCCGCCGCCUCGGGAGCUGUUGUCGCCGAAGUCUGGAAUAAGGGUACCCUCCAAGAGCAGUGAUUUAUCUGGGAUUUGGAGAUUAGGGCUAACCAUGUCUUUAAAUUCAUCUACACUUCUAAAUGAAGAAAACUCUGAAGAACCAAAAGGAAAUACCGAGUGUUUGGGAAGUGUAGAACUGCAGACUCCACCAUCAUUUCAAGACAAUCCACUUCAACAAUUACAAUUAGCAUCGCAGGAAGUACUUGAAAAGGCAAAAAAGAGUGGGAGAUCAAAAUGCCCUCGAUGCAGCAGUUCAAGGAUGUUUUAUUGUUACACAUGCUUUGUUCCUGUUGAAACUGUGCCUACCAAAGAAAUUCCAACUGUGAAGUUACCUUUGAAGAUUGACAUUAUUAAACACCCAAAUGAAACAGAUGGCAAAAGCACUGCUGUGCAUGCUAAGCUACUGGCACCUGAUGAUGUUACAAUAUAUAAAUACCCUUGCAUUCCAGAAUAUAAAGAAAGAAGACAUGAAAUAGCACUUGUAUUUCCUGGCCCAAAUUCAGUUUCAGUGAAUGAUAUUGCUUCCCAUCUCCAAAAGUACACUAAGAAAAGUGUUUCUGAUAACGACGAUGACUGUUCCAGGGAGCCGUUUCUUAAGCAAGCAAAAAUAGAACCUGAAGAGGAAAAAAAUGAAUGCAUCUCAAGCAACAAGAGUGAAGGCACUACACUAAAGAAAAUAAUAUUUAUUGACAGUACCUGGAAUCAAACUAACAAAAUAAUAACUGAUGAACGACUUCAAGGCUUGCUGCAAAUUGAGUUGAAGACAAGGAAGACUUGCUUUUGGCGUCAUCAGAAGGGAAAGCCAGAUACAUACCUUUCCACGAUAGAAGCAAUUUAUUAUUUCCUUGUGGACUAUCAUCAGGAGAUUUUGAAAGAGAACUACAAAGGACAAUAUGAUAAUCUGCUUUUUUUCUUUUCAUUUAUGUACACAUUGAUUAGAAAUGCCAAGGGCUGUGCAGGGAAAGAAUAAGAUGUCUGCCUGUAGAUUCUGAAGAGAAAUCAGAUGCUGUGGAAUUUUGAAAGCAGUGUAUCACAUUAAACUUUAGAAACAUUCGUAGUGGUGUGACUUCUUCAGCACUACCUGCCAGAAAAAAAUCCAGUUAGUUCUUGAGUCCCACAGGAAGGGACCACAGGUGUUGCAAUUGGAUGUCUAGAAACAUAUCACAGAAGAGUGAACAGAAGAGAAUGCUCCACACCACUCUACCCAAGAUUGAGUCCUGCUCGGCCUAUGAUCCUGUGCGCUGCACUUCCCUUACCUGUAAAGUUAAUUUCUGCCUCUGAAUAAGGUCUCUACAUAUGAAGCUGAACCCACAAGCCUUCUGAACUCAGCAUGAAAACAAAAGGCUACUGCUACUUUGAAGGUUCUGAUGGUAAAAUUUCCCAACAGCAGGGACAGAAGAGCUGCACAGGAGUAGGUGUACACCUGUAUCAGUAUAUCCAUACCUUCCUCCUAGCAAUAAAUGCAUUAGGGGACAAGCCAGAGAUUUUUUCCUGUGUUGUUUCUGUAUUAGGGAACAUCAAAUCAAAGUGUGUUAUCAGACUUUAAAAGAUUAAAGAAUAAACUGUUAUAGGUGCAGGGCAAAUAGAUACUUUAAUUGGAUAUGGCCAUAUAGGUCAUCCUGUUAAUACACACAAGUGAGUAGUUGGGCCAAGGUAAGCACAUCAUCCAGGCUGAACAAGGCAUGCCAAAGAGGUGAACAGGUUAUUCCAAAGGAGUUAAAAGAAUGAAACUGCAAAGAAAAAUGUAGAGUGUUGAACUACACUGAAAUUCUGAUUCGUUUGUAUGCCAUGGAUCACACUCUGCCAUUUGUUUAACAGAGAAAAGGAGAAAGAAGCAAGAGCACUGCCAUCCUAGUACUAAGGAAAUGUAUUUUCCUCAAGUGGUUCGUGCAUGAACACUGGCAGUGAACAUGUACACCUAUGACUCUCAAUGGAAGAUGCAUAUAUAAUUCAACAUGCUGCUUUCUUUACUGUCUUUUGAUUACUUACUGGAGACUUAAAUCAUCACACCAGAGUUAGUUUUUCUCUGAUAUUUUGGGGGUAUAUUAGUAAUACACAAUUAGUUUAUAAUUUCCUCAGUUUAUGCUAGUAUGUACUCAAUGUAAUUUUAUUACAAACAACAUAAAAACCCAUGUAAAUUUUAUAAUACACCUUCUGUCCUACCAAAAUGAGAUAAGACCUGGAAUAAUGCAUAGCUUUAAUAAAACCAAUUGUCUAUCAGGUAACACAAACUCUUCAAGUUUUGAGUCAUUUUGUAUCUCAGUACCAUCUUCAACACACUUGUUAUCAACAAUGAUUGGAUAUAAUCUCUAGUCUUACUUAUGUCUUUACCUGUUAACGUCUACAGGUCCUGGUUCUAAACAUGCUUUAGGACUCAAAAUGAAUGAGACUGUUUUCCAUAUGGAAAAUUUCAGUUCUUGUCUAUUCAGAAUUGGAUUCUAGAAAACACUUCUAGGAUGGACUGUGUUCUGUAGUGUCUCAUAUAGUCAGCAAGUCUUCUUUUUAACUCAUACUCAGAUGCCACCCUCAAAGACUGGAAACUGUGCUAGUGCCAUUCCAAAACUACUUGCUUCAAAGACAGAUGCUAAUGAUUUGAACAGAGCCAGAUUCUUUGGAAGUCGAAAGAAGGUAUCCUUAGUGUCUGCUCUACAGAAGAACAAUAGUUUGGGUUACAAUAAAAAAUACUUGCUUAAGCAAAAACUACAGACUUAAUUUCAGAUGUUGCUGUUAAGGCUAAAUAAAAAUUCUGUAUUUCAAGAA